rnacentral:rRNA from 1 species
UACAGAGGUCCCGAGCGUUGUUCGGAUUCACUGGGCGUAAAGCGUGCGUAGACGGUUACAUAAGUCGGGUGUGAAAGCCCCGGGCUCAACCUGGGAAUUGCAUUCGAGACUGCGUAGCUAGGGUGCGGAAGAGGGAAGCGGAAUUUCCGGUGUAGCGGUGAAAUGCGUAGAUAUCGGAAGGAACACCAGUGGCGAAAGCGGCUUCCUGGUCCAGCACCGACGUUCAGGCACGAAAGCGUGGGGAGCAAACAGG